rnacentral:rRNA from 1 species
AGUGAACGCUGGCGGUAGGCCUAACACAUGCCAGUCGAACGGCAGCACAGUAAGAGCUUGCUCUUACGGGUGGCGAGUGGCGGACGGGUGAGGAAUACAUCGGAAUCUACUUUUUCGUGGGGGAUAACGUAGGGAAACUUACGCUAAUACCGCAUACGACCUACGGGUGAAAGCAGGGGAUCUUCGGACCUUGCGCGAUUGAAUGAGCCGAUGUCGGAUUAGCUAGUUGGCGGGGUAAAGGCCCACCAAGGCGACGAUCCGUAGCUGGUCUGAGAGGAGGAUCAGCCACACUGGAACUGAGACACGGUCCAGACUCCUACGGGAGGCAGCAGUGGGGAAUAUUGGACAAUGGGCGCAAGCCUGAUCCAGCCAUACCGCGUGGGUGAAGAAGGCCUUCGGGUUGUAAAGCCCUUUUGUUGGGAAAGAAAAGCAGCAGGUUAAUACCCCGCUGUUCUGACGGUACCCAAAGAAUAAGCACCGGCUAACUUCGUG